CUUAAUACCUAUUUACAGUUUAACAUAUAGAACUUUAGUAGUCUAAUGCUAAAAAAUUUAAAAUCACCUACCAUCAUGUCAAAUUUGUUCAUAAACACAAGCAACCUAUAUACAUGCUCCUAACCAAUCACUUGUAUUUCUACAAGCUCAAGCACACCAAAAGAUAAGAAAAUUAAAAAAAAAAAACAAAUUUCUUAUAUUACCC
rnacentral:lncRNA from 1 species